AAUCGCCGCUGCGAGCAGGGAAGGACAGCAGAGCAGAACUGGCUGCCUCCCUAAGAGUUCUCUGCUCGCCGGCGAGCACAGAAUGUCCACCCGCACCCUUGGGUUCAACUUCUGCAUAUCGAAGAUCUGAGCUUGUCAUCUGAUCCCUGUUUUGGGCCAAUGUUUUGAGCAGUCCCGCCAUGAGGCAUACAACAGGCAGCACUGCAGGUCUGUAGGCUGAGUCAAUUAAAAGCGUACCCAGGUGCCCAAUCUCUUGCCUCCAGACACAAGUCUGUUUCUCCCAUGUCACAGAAGAAACCUGUGAGUUUGUUCCGCCCAUGAAACUGUACCACUAAGCUAACUUCAGGAAUCCUAUACCACCAGAUAAAGCCAUUGCUGGUGUUUUGUGGCAGUGUUUUGAGAAGUAGUCUGAGGGCCCACCACUGUCCGGGCUUUGAUUCAAAGGACCCAUGAGACUAAAGUGGGGGCAAGAAGUCACUGGCGUGCUGUUGGUUGCUCGCCCUCGGUGGAGCCUGGUGUGCAGGGUCAGCGGGUACAAGUGCAGUGCCUCAGGGUGAGCCUCGGUACCAGCGUGUAAACUGGCAGUGACCAGGAACGCCGAUUUAUGAUUCCUUUUGAGUUCAGUUGCAGCAACCACUGCAGAUCACAAAAGGCUUUGUUUCUCAAGCAUGGGACAAAUGCUUUAUGCACUGUGAGUGCUAGCUUAUCAGUUCCCUGUAACAUGAUACUAUACAAUGCUGUAUAACAAUCUGUACCGCUCAGAGCUUACUCAAGUUCCUUGCACACAAAUUGUUUAUGAAGGUCCCAGCAAGAGAAAAUGUGGAAGAAAAUAUUCUAGGAAAAAACAUUUUGUUAUAGCGAUAAAUGUACCAAAAUAAAUGCCUAGUGAGACAAAUAUAUAAGUUUUUUUAUGCACAGCUCAUGAAACAGCUUGAAAGACCACUUUUUUUUUAAGAUGAUUUUAGUCAGCACAUGAUUUGUACAGUAAAACACUAAAAUAGGAGUGGAUAAUUAUGGGCAGAUAUGAAGGUGAUGAUGCCUUCCUAAAUACACUUUGAAAAGUUAAGAAGUGACAAUCAAUAUAAAACUUAUUUGAUAAGUAGUUUGAAAGAGGUAAUAAACACAACGUGGAUUUUUCUACUUUGGAAUAAUUGCAAAAAGCACAUGUUUAAAAGCAAAUAAAUCCUCGGUUCGUGCUUUGACCAUCACAGGCCAACAGUUAUGAGACAGAAUAUUUGACUUUCCUCGGAAUUAUUUACAGGACAGUUGAAUUUCCUGCUAGUUUAUUGGUGAUGACAUAAUGUGUAAUUCAUUGAAAGUUUUUUUGCUCUUCAAGAUGUUUAGGUGAUCUAAAAGGGUAACUUAGAUGUGAAAUUCUGAUGAAAGGGCAGGGAUUUUGAUAGGGAUUGGGGUUCUCUUUUUGCCUCGGAGAGGUAAUGGAGACGUGUUCUGAAUUAAAAGGGAGAUUUUAGCAGAGAUUACCAAACUGAAUGAAGCAAUACUGCAUAGUAUAUGAACUAGUAGAAAAUUACCACACCUCUGAGGAACUGUAAAAAAAGGCAGACCAAAGGUAUUUGAUUUAUUAACCAAAAAAGAAAGAAAAAAUGUAAUUUUGUCAUACAUCACCUCUGUUUUCUGUGUUUGAAUUGAAUAUGUUUAUUAUUAUCACAAGAAAGAAUAAUUUGGCUAGUAGUUGUGAAUACUUACAAGAUACUAAUUUACAAUAUUUAGCAAUGAUACAUGGAAAGUCUAAAAAUCAUGUACAUAAGUUAUUCUGAUGCUUUAUAAAAUGGUGAGGCCAUAUAAUCUGUAACUUUAAUCAGACAGCUUUAGAACAAAUACUUAAAGACUUGUAAAGAUCUCUUCUAAGCAGCAUUGUUAGAAGAUCUGGAAAAAAGUAAUUCUGAAGUCCCACUUUUUUGCAAAGGUCUGUUAUUACUAAUCUAUUCUGAUACAAUGUUGCUGUUUUUUCAGCAGAUGGUUCUAUUUCAUUCAGUUUUACAGCUUCCAAAAAAAUCAAAUUUCCACUUACAAGUCAGACUUGUUUGAAGUAGAAGUUACAUAUGUCACUGUAGGACCAAAGUCUGCUUUGUGUGCUACUGAGAUUGGAAUUUUUGCUUCCAUUUGAUGAAGACAUCAGUAGUUAUUUGCACAAAUAAAAAAGUGAGAUUUGGCUCCCAGAAUUUGCGAAAUAUAUCAAAAUCGAAUAAUAAAGUGGGGUUUCAAAACAGAUUUUCCCCCAAAAGAUGCCGUUUUCAGAUUAUGUGGAAUAUAUUCUGUGAGAAAAUCUGUUUACUCUCAUUCACCUGAUGGAACAGCUCUGUUGUAGUGUCACUGCUCUUGAAAAGUUCUGCCAUACGACGGUGGACAAAAGGCAGUGCAUCAUCUCUCAAGCUGCUUGCCCCAAGACAUUCUGUUCCACUGCCGCAGCAGCUGAAACAAUAAAAUCCACCAAAGCUGCCUUUCAUCUCGGGGAAGUACUGGCUAGUUUGUACAGAAUGCCAGCAGUGGCUCAGUGUUUCUUUUUCACCCUUUUCUUCCUAGAGAGUUGAAAAUAAUGAUAAUGAAUUAAUAUAACUGGAGGAACCUGUCAGAGGAUUAAAAAACGCAAUGCAGUAUCCCUAAUGAUCUGGAAUAGUUAAUUAAGUCCUCUUAUAAAUGAGUUCCAAAAAUAACUUACUUUCAGUAAGUUAUUCUGAGAAACAGUCAUUUUAGCAUACCUGAGCUGCAGUGCCUCUUAGAAAAGGGCCAAUUAUCUGGUGAUUGGCACUUAAAGGUGAACUAAUGAAGUUCUUAAUUAAAAAAUUUCCUAUUAUAAUCACCAGUAAGUAAUAGAAUACUGCAUAUAUAAAGCAGGUGUAAUAUUAGAAGAAUAUUUCCAUUUUGAAAAAAAAGGUUUUGAAAAUCAUCUCCUCCUUUGCUCACCAUACCAUGUCCAAAACAGGAAUGUCAGGGUUUUCACGGGUGUAGCUGGCAGUGUGCCACUAUUGCCUCUCAUUAGAGUGUCCUGCUCUGACUCUCCUGCAGUCAGAGCUGUUUUCCUCAUCUAACAGGUGGCAGAAUUUUUGCUGCUCUUAAUACCCAAAGCUGUUUAUGUAAUACAGAAAAAAUUAUUUGAGAUUUUAUAAGAGAAUAUAUUGGACUUUUUCACUAAGAAACUGGCUGCAGAGUUCCUUUAGCUGCCUGUCAUUGACAACUUUCCUGAAUUUUCACUUACUUCACAGUAAACACGAUAUUAUGAAUUCUUCCACAAGAUAAACUUGAAUUAAAUUUUGGGAAAAAUACUCUGGUUUGGCAGCUUGAGAUGUAUUGACAUACUACCAGAAUCUGAAUGAAAUUUCUCGGGCAGCGUAUCUCCCCAUUCAGAGGUAGAAGGACUCAAGGUCCUUCUGUCAACAUUUCUGCAGCUCGACAGAUGUAAAGAGCGUUGCUUGAAUGCUGCAUAACCAUGCUAACAGUGCAUCAGGCCCAGGAUAAAACAGCCUGUUAAGAUUAGCUUGAGCACAUUGUCACACUGAUCAUCUCUUUUUAGACAGAAAUAGGUAUACAUAUACUUCUGGUUGACCUCCAGCCAUUCACACUGGUGAUCACCCUGGUGAUCAGUGCUGUAUGUGAGGAAUGACAUACUGGGCCUGUGGGCUCCUUGCUCUUAAGUGCUCCAUAUAAACACUACUAAAUAUAUAUGCAGCUAUUCCUAUAGUUCUUAGUUCUGGUAAGACAAGACUUGUCAUUUUCAUAGGUGAUUUGACUUGUUUUUGAGGAACUAUGAAAUUGCACAACUUUACUUCGUCCUUUAUAUAGAAUUUUUGAAGACUCUCAGACCUGUGUUUAUGAACUACUAUGACAGAAAUAGAAUUUAGCCUAAGGUAGCUUUAUAUAUAUAGGUUCUUGACUGUAAUUGUCCUUAUAUGAUGAGAGUUUUUCUAAGCUUUUGUUGAACUUAAUUUUCGCUAACCAAUCUACUAAUCUUCAGAGAGUCAAAAGUAUAAAAUUAGCCUUAUACCAUCAUGGCUGUGUCAAAAUGACCAGUGUUUCCAUUUCCAUCAGACACUAGUGCAAGCUAAAAUUCAUAUUCACUGGCAGCUGAACAGUUUUUUCACUUGACUAAAUGAGUUUUCAGUGUUUGAAAUUUUUACUAUAUUAAUAAAAGCACUAAUUUUAAUUACCACCAAGGGAAACUGUCAAGUGUGACUGGCAAAAUCAUUCAUUUACAUUUUUUUUUGUUCAUCUUAAUCCACGGUAUUUAAAUGUAUUUUUCUCUAUCUGAAGUCUGUAAGUACUUCCAAGGGGAAAAAAAAAGUCUCCAGAUCACCAGAAAGCCUGUAGUACCAAAGGAGGUUUUGUUCUACAUGUAUCUAUUUUGAUUGCAAUUAAAAAGUUAAGUGGGGAUAUUGUAUUUACAGGUUUAAAGCACUUCUAUAUUUUCCUGUCUUUUUCUCACUUAAAAAAUUGAUAUUUUUACAAAUAAACAUUUCAGUUUUUUAAAUUUGUGUAAGUUUUAAAUACAAAACAAAUGUGAGAGCUAUUCUAAUGUUACAUUGAAACAAAUGUAGAUCAGAGAUGAGUUUGUUGUAAAGAAGUACAUAUACAAGGUUCAAAAACAGGUCCCUCUUAUCUAAUAUGACAUGUUUCCUGUGAAGCUAUAUUAACUGUAUGUUAAAGACUAUGAUCUCCUAAUUAACCAUUCUAGGGAGAAAGAAAGAGAUCUUUUAGGCUCAAUAAUCCUUGUAAUAUGUUCAUCAUUCAACAAAUUUGAAUCUAAAACUAUAGACUUUAAUUUAUUGGGAGUUAGCCAUCUAUAUGAUGGCUGCAAAACACCCAGAAAAAAUGUGGUCAUGGAUAAUAACCCAUGAUAACAGAGAGAAAUUAGCUAUCUAGUUAAUGAGGUUAAGCUACAAUAUCCUCUUCGUUAUCAUGAAAUAAACCACUGGGAUCUUGUGUGCAGAAAUGGCUGGGAUAUUUUUACAGAGUCUCAGAAAUUUGGAGAAGCAGGCUUCAGUGAAAAGAGUCAGAAAAUUGAACUGUUGGAAUGAAAAUCUAAAACGGAACUAUAGUCUCUUAUUGUAGUGGUAUAUAAUUUGAGAUCAUUCCUCACUUACUAAAUGGUUCUGUGGUUCAUCAUUGAUUAAGAACAUUUGAGUAGGUUAAAACUGGUGAAGUUUCAGGGGAAUAAGCAAACAGCAAGUGUUUUGGCCCAUUUGUUUCACUACAGAAAUCUUCCCAUACCAUAAAAUAUUUAUAACAGAGCUUUAAGUAAUAAAAGUAAUAAAAAGGAUUAUUUUCUUUCCAUUCCAUGGUUCCUAUUCUGUUCAGGUUUGCCAGUAGAAAUAACAUUAAUAACUUAAACAAUCAAACCAGGUUUUAACUGUGUCACGUUUAAUACUCUUCAUCUCAGAGAGUUGGAUUUUUCAAGAAAGAAUCUAGUAAGUAUGAAGCUGUUUUGACUUAAUUAGCAAAGUAGCGAGCUUAAUUAUGAGUGAUUCUGAGAAAGCAUUUUAUUGCUGAAAAGAAAAGCAACAAAUCAGUUGUAUCUUUCAAUGUCCCAUUGAACUUUAUGACAUCAUUUGUAGUAUAAACCACUGAUAUAAUCUGGCUUUGAUUUUGAGUCCUCGAGGAAGGGUGGUUGUGACAGUGCCCUUUGAAAUAACAUUGAAGCUUCGGCUCCCAUGUCAAUAUCAUGCUCUAAUCAGUGCAGUCUUUAUUGUUGCAGGGUCUUCCACCUUAUAAUUGACCCUGACAUAUGCUAUUCACUCUACCCCUUGGCUUCGGACAUAUAAUUUCUGUCAUGGUCAAUUAUUAGGUAAUAGAGCCAGCAACCACAGGGACCAUUGCUUAAAAUCAUCCUACCCAGUAAGCCCUGAAGUGACCAAAUUCAAAUAUAACUGGAGGGAAGAAGGGAUCUAGUCUUUGAUAAAACUAAUAUUCUUUUCACUUCUAUAUAGAAAAAUGUCAAUUUCCAUUGUCCUGUAUAUUACUGAGACAAAUGGUGACAGUCCUAUUUCUGAAACAGGUUAAGAGAAAGGACAAAAACCUUUACCAAACUCAACAUACUCUGAAAUAAGGAAAUUGUCUGUAUGAGCAUACAGUAUGCAUAAAAAUUAGAUUACACUACAUUUGAAAGGCAGAUGAGAGUUUAAGUGACAAGUGGGCAAGUGCUAAAAAUAAGGGCAUGUUACUUCCUUUCCAACACUGCUUUGUCUGUAUGCUUUCUUUAAUGUUGUUUAAGCCUUGAAGUAAAGAAAUACUUUUCGAGAGUCUGAAAGAUACUUCUGAUUACCAUAUUGAUAAGAACCGAUUUUGAACAAAAAGGUCUCUUCUUCUUGUCGCAUAGGUUCUAUAGUGCCUGAGAAAUUGGGCAAAGACAAAAACCAGGACACCUGCUCUCUGAUUUUCAUGUAAGCAUUAUGAUUUUCAAAAACAUAUGGUUUUGCAGUCAUUGUACUACUGCAAUAACAUUAAAAAAUCAUUACAACUUCAGGAUUAAGAGCUGAUAUGAGCAAAAGUUUACCACCCAUCUGUGGAGAUUGAAAAGGAGGAUUGUGAACCAGUGGUUCACUUCAGAGAUUCUCUGUCCGUAGUCAACUAUGCCACUAACCCAUAGGGAUAGCCUUCCCUGGGUUUUGCUGCAUGAACAUUGAUUUCAAUUUGCUAGUUGCCAUUGCCUGGUUUGGGUUGCUUAUUUUUGUUAGGGUUUUUUUUGGUUGCUUGGGUUGUGGUUUUUUUUAAAAGUAUUGAAGGGAAUUUAAACAAUCUAUAGUCUUUUCAAGUCACAAGUUAUUAUCUACAGGAAUCUUCCAUUGGUUUGUUCCACUGUUGAUGAUUUACUUAAUUCUCUUAUGUGUAAGAACACAGCUCAGAAAUAAUCCUUAAAAGACCUUUGCAAAUCUGCUGUUUUACAGAUUCAACGUGUUACAAACAAACAUAUUCCACCUGUUACAGCAAUCUGGCAUAUUACUUUCUUGAUACGUGAUGAUACAAUACCUCUCAGGUUUGCUGAGUAGCAAAGAGAAAUGAAACCCUUCUCCUGCAGAAAUUAUUGAGAACGUGCAUGAAACUGAAAAGAAACAGAGCUGACCAAUAAUAAAUUCUUAUGAAAAUUCCACUUGUAAGU